rnacentral:rRNA from 1 species
UAGGGAAUCUUCGGCAAUGGGGGGAACCCUGACCGAGCAACGCCGCGUGAGUGAAGAAGGUUUUCGGAUCGUAAAGCUCUGUUGUUAAGGAAGAACGAGUGUGAGAAUGGAAAGUUCAUACUGUGACGGUACUUAACCAGAAAGGGACGGCUAACUACGUGCCAGCAGCCGCGGUAAUACGUAGGUCCCGAGCGUUGUCCGGAUUUAUUGGGCGUAAAGCGAGCGCAGGCGGUUAGAUAAGUCUGAAGUUAAAGGCAGUGGCUCAACCAUUGUAGGCUUUGGAAACUGUUUAACUUGAGUGCAGAAGGGGAGAGUGGAAUUCCAUGUGUAGCGGUGAAAUGCGUAGAUAUAUGGAGGAACACCGGUGGCGAAAGCGGCUCUCUGGUCUGUAACUGACGCUGAGGCUCGAAGGCGUGGGGAGCGAACAGGAUUAGAUACCCUGGUAGUCCACGCCGUAAACGAUGAGUGCUAGGUGUUAGGUCCUUUCCGGGACUUAGUGCCGCAGCUAACGCAUUAAGCACUCCGCCUGGGGAGUACGACCGCAAGGUU